rnacentral:piRNA from 1 species
UACACCGAGAAAAUAAAAAAGCAACAACAGA